AAUGUAGGGAUUGAUUUCCUUACUUUUACUUGUAUCGAACAUGGUUCUUGCCUUUUACCAGAACCAUCCGGGUAUUGUCUCUCUUUACAGGUAAUGCUGGUCAUUAAUGUAUUCUCAAUAUUUUUUGGAAC
rnacentral:snRNA from 1 species